CAGCCCCAACUCCUCGUAUCACAGAUUCAUAUUAGAUUUUUUUGUCCCAAACCAAAACCUAAUCUCUCAAGAGCAGCCUCUCUCUUCUGGAUAGUUCUUUGAUCUCUCAUCUCUCUCUCUGGCGAUCGGUGAGGCCGGUGGUCAAACUUGAGGCAAAACCUCCAGCUACGACACAGUUGUCACUCUUUCACUCUCUUGUACUCGUUCUUUCCUCUCUUCUUCGUCAACUCCUCUGGACUGGUUGCGGCUCCACACCGUUGAGGUCAGUCAAAUCAAAGACUCACCUGUGGAAGAUUCUGAAGUUAAGCAAUAGACUCACCUGUUUGGUUCGGUUUGUGUCCAUGGACGAUAAUGUGGUGCAGCGGGUAUUCCAAGAAGGGGGUCGAGAUUUCUACCAACAACCCUCUAGUUCUUCAUCUUCAUCUUCAAUCAUCCAAUCCCUACCUCUUCAUGUGGUAUGCAAAAAUCAAAAAUUUCUUUCGUUUAAUCAUUCUUGUACCUGUUAUGCAUCUGGGUUUCUUCAAGUUUUUGUAGAUGUUUGAUUCACUUUUUGUUUUCACUUGAAAUCCGAAUUUGUUCAUCUGGGUUUGCUUGCAUAUGUACAUAUUAGUUGGAGAAUACCCAUUUGAAAAUUUCUAAGAAUUAGAUGUAGAUUCUUUAUGUGUUGGUGGUAUUUUGGUUCCAAUGGUAGGAAAUUAAAUAUGAGACUACUUUGAGAAAUCGGUGUAAAAUUGUUUAAUUAUAAUUGGGUUAUGUUGAACGCAAUUUCAUGAUAAUUGACACCCAUCUCAGCAUUAUUAGAAUUUAGGAUCUCUUAAAAGUGAAGCAAUUUUUUGAGAUAUACUGAAAGUAUGUCUCUGAUUUUGCUAUUCUUUUAUUGAUUUUUAAUUGCAUUGAAGAAUUCAAAAUACCCAUUUGAGAAUUUCUGAGAAUUAGGUGUGGAUUUUCUUUGUAUUGGUGGUAUUUUGGU